GAUGAACGCUAGCGGCAGGCCUAACACAUGCAAGUCGAGGGGUAGAAGGAGCUUGCUCCUUUGAGACCGGCGCACGGGUGCGUAACGCGUAUGCAAUCUACCUUGUACAGGGGAAUAGCCCAGAGAAAUUUGGAUUAAUGCCCCAUAGUAUAUAACCUUCGCAUGUUGGUUAUAUUAAAGUUCCAACGGUACAAGAUGAGCAUGCGUCCCAUUAGUUAGUUGGUAAGGUAACGGCUUACCAAGACGAUGAUGGGUAGGGGUCCUGAGAGGGAGAUCCCCCACACUGGUACUGAGACACGGACCAGACUCCUACGGGAGGCAGCAGUGAGGAAUAUUGGUCAAUGGUCGCAAGACUGAACCAGCCAUGCCGCGUGCAGGAAGACGGUCCUAUGGAUUGUAAACUGCUUUUAUACAGGAAGAAACCCUCCCACGUGUGGGAGCUUGACGGUACUGCAGGAAUAAGGAUCGGCUAACUCCGUG
rnacentral:rRNA from 1 species